GGACAGAUGGCUGAGUGGCUGAAAGCACCGGUCUUGAAAACCGGCAAAUGUGCAAGCAUUUCGUGGGUUCAAAUCCCACUCUGUCCG
rnacentral:tRNA from 1 species